GACGGAGGAUGCAAGUAUUAUCCGGAAUCACUGGGCGUAAAGCGUCUGUAGGUGGUUUAAAAAGUCCACUGUUAAAAAUUGAAGCUUAACUUCAAAGAUGCCGUGGAAACUUUUAAACUUGAGUAUGUAGGGGUAGAGGGAAUUUCCAGUGGAGCGGUGAAAUGCGUAGAUAUUGGAAAGACCACCAAUGGCGAAGGCACUCUACUGGGCCAUUACUGACACUGAGAGACGAAAGCUAGGGGAGCAAAUGGG
rnacentral:rRNA from 1 species